ACUGGGGACAUUGGGGACACUGGGGACAUGGCCAGGAUGGACAGCGCGGGGACACUGCAGGUGACACUGGGGACACUGCAGGUGACAUUGGGGACACUGCUGGGGACAUUGGGGACAUUGGGGACAUUGGGGACAUGGCCAGGAUGGACAGCGCGGGGACACUGCAGGUGACAUUGGGGACACUGCUGGGGACAUUGGGGACAUUGGGGACAUGGCCAGGAUGGACAGCGCGGGGACACUGCAGGUGACACCAGAGGGGACACUGGGGACACUGCAGGUCCCCUGACUGUGUGCCCUGUGCUAUGCCCUGUGUCCUCAGAGGUGACGGUGACAAUGUCCCCUGACUGUCCCCAAGGUGACAAUGACAGUGUCCCCACUCUGU